GUUAUUGUCUAUAUUAAGAAACAUAAAAAAGAAAUAUUAAUGAGAGAGUUCAGCAAUUUUUCUGGUUAUAAAAAAUAAAUAUACUAAUUUCUGUUCACUAGCAAAAAAUGAUAAUAAUGCAAUUUAGAAAAUGUAAUUUUGGGCUGGGCACUGUGACUCACACCUGUAACCUCAGCACUUUGGGAGGCUUGAGCCCAGGAAUUCGAGACCAGCCUGGGCAACAUGGAGAGACCCCAUAUCUACAAAAACUUUAAAAUGUUAACUGGGUGUGGUGCCACAUGCCUAUGGUGCAAGCUACUUGGGAGGCUGGGGCAGGAGGAUUGGUUGAGCCUGGGAAGUCAAGGCUACAGUGAUCCACGAUUGCAUGACUGCACUCAGCCAGGCUUUCCUCCCCUGUCUCAAAGAAAGGAAAAUGUAAUUUUGGAGGUAGCAUAACUCUCCAUCCUGAAGUGUGGGUUACGUAUAGUGACUUCCUUCUAAAAGUACAAAAUGAGGGUUCUGGGGAAGAAAGAAUAAUUUUACAAUGGAGAAAAAGGACAAGCACUACUUCAGACAGAUGAUCUAGGUUAUACCAACAGUUAUAAAUCAUGUAGAGAUAAGCACCCUUAAUAUGAUAUGAUGAAAGUGACACUUUACCCCUGUGUUCUUCCUCCCCCAGAUUCAGAGCCCCAGCCUGUUCAUAAAAAAAAUCAGAUGAAUUUUGUCUGCGGAACAUUCUGCAAAAAUAUCUGACCAGAAAGCAGUUGAACAGCUAUGCGAGAAGCCUACUUUCUCUUCAUGUAACACGUUGGCCUAAGAGAUCUAUAGAGCUUUUUAAAAACAAAGAAGGCAGCAAGAUUUAAAAUAAUAAAACCAGCAAUAGGUAUUUUUAAAAGUGAGAGAAACUAUCAGAGAGCUGUAGCAGAAAAGCAAGUUAAAAAUAAAGGAAACAGAAAAGGAACUGAUACAGCUGAUUUGAUACUGGAAAAAUCACCCAGGAGGCAGCGUGGACAAUGGAUUGGAGAAGGGCGAACAUUCAGUCAGAGACUUUGUGAGCUUACUGUAAAUUAGAGGGAGCAAAUUGGAGGAGAAAUGACAAAAGAAACAGAAAAAAUGUUUAAUCAGACAAAGGAACUAAAAAACCUCAGUCUUAAUUAGAAGAUGGUCAAACAAAUCUCUUAACUGAUGUUCACAAUGAUGGUUUCAAGUCAUCUAAGGAAUGGGAGAAAAUACAACUGGUGAAUUGCAAAGAUAUUAAGAAAUUUUUUUCAUGACCUCCAAAGAAUAAAAUUAUAAAACUUAUUCUUACCUUUUUGUUUCCUGUAAACGUGUGGUAUAUUCCCCUUGUCCCUCACGACAAACUUCUCUAUGAUUUCCUCAAUGGUUAAGGCCCCAAAUGAUACAUUAAAAAAUAUACAUUUGUUUUAUAUUUUCAAAGUAUUCUUAAUCUUUAAUUAGGAACUACACUGAAACUCUGUUGUCAAUGCCCCUACGAAGACUGAAAGAGAUGUGAUGGUUUUAAGACUGGUGCCUAUGGUCAAAAGA
rnacentral:lncRNA from 1 species